rnacentral:rRNA from 1 species
CCUACGGGCGGCAGCAGUGGGGAAUAUUGGUCAAUGGGCGGAACCCUGAUCCAGCCACGCCGCGUGAGUGAAGAAGUAUCUCGGUAUGUAAAGCUCUAUCAGCCAGGAAGAAAAUGCCGGUACCUGACUAAGAAGCCCCGUCUAACUACGUGCCAGCAGCCCCGGUUAUAUGCAGGCGGCAAGCGUUAUCCGGAGUUACUGGGCGUAAAGGGAGCGUAGUCGGUGUAGCAGGUCUGGUGUGAAAUGUCGGUGCCCAAACCCGGGACUGCAUUGGAAACUGUUGAACUGGAGUACAGGAGAGGUAAGCGGAAUUCGUAGUGUAGCGGUGAAAUGCGUAGAUAUUAGGAGGAACACCAGUGGCGAAGGCAGCUUACUGGACUGUAACUGACGUUGAGGCACGAAAGCGUGGGGAGCAAACAGGAUUAGAUACCCUGGUAGUC